rnacentral:rRNA from 1 species
ACAGAGGGUGCAAGCGUUAAUCGGAAUUACUGGGCGUAAAGGGUGCGUAGGUGGUUUGUUAAGUCAGGCGUGAAAUCCCUGGGCUCAACCUGGGAACUGCGUUUGAUACUGGCAGACUCGAGUCUGGUAGAGGGUAGUGGAAUUCCGCAUGUAGCGGUGAAAUGCGUAGAUAUGCGGAGGAACAUCAGUGGCGAAGGCGGCUACCUGGACCAAGACUGACACUGAGGCACGAAAGCGUGGGGAUCAAACAGGAUUAGAUACCCUGGUAGUCCACGCCCUAAACGAUGGGUACUAGACGUUGGGAGGUUUAUCCUCUUGGUGUCGCAGCUAACGCAAUAAGUACCCCGCCUGGGGAGUACGGUCGCAAGAUUA